CCUGCCCAAGAGAUCGGGAUAACACCUGGAAACAGAUGCUAAUACCGGAUAACAACAGAUGAUGCCUAUCAACUGUUUAAAAGAUGGUUCUGCUAUCACUCUUGGAUGGACCUGCGGUGCAUUAGCUAGUUGGUAGGGUAACGGCCUACCAAGGCGAUGAUGCAUAGCCGAGUUGAGAGGCUGAUCGGCCACAUUGGGACUGAGACACGGCCCAAACUCCUACGGGAGGCAGCAGCA
rnacentral:rRNA from 1 species